rnacentral:rRNA from 1 species
UUAAGUGACGAUAGCCUAGGAGAUACACCUGUACCCAUGCCGAACACAGAAGUUAAGCCCUAGAACGCCGGAAGUAGUUGGGG